UAUCAUUCGAAGAUCAUUAACUUCACCUAUGUCAACGAUUUACAGCCACAACCCUCCCUUCUCUCUCUCUGUGCGCGAGGGAGAGGAGGUGUGCUGGUAAAUAAUGGCCAUAUAGAGUCAUAGGGAGCACCAAAUCCUUAGUUACCCCCCGUAGUGAUGUUCUUCUCCGCAAGCAAAAGCCCAAGUGCCAGAAUCCUUCCCCUUCCUGCGCUAUAAAAUCCCCUGCGCUCCCUCCAUUCCCCUACAGUAAAAACCCAAGAAAAAGAAACCAACGGAAAGUAAAAAACAGAGCCCCUUUUAGAGCUAGAAUAGAAAACCGAGUGGGAAAAAUAAUAGGAGCGCUUUAGACCCAGGCAUUGUU
rnacentral:lncRNA from 1 species